GGAUCGGCAUGUUGGUCGUGCCUUACGGGGUAUGAACUGGCAUCGUCGGUUUCUCACCUUCUGGAGAAUCGUGAUGCUCUUAAUUGGGUGUUACGUGGAUCCAGGACCUUUACCUUGAAAAAAUUAGAGUGUUUAAAGCAGGCAUUUUGCUCGAAUACAUUAGCAUGGAAUAAUAAAAUAGGACGGUUUGGUUCUAUUUUGUUGGUUUCUAGGAUCACCGUA
rnacentral:rRNA from 1 species